UCGAAAAACUUCAAUUCGUCGGACUAUCUCCAAAUCGGAGAGAACUUACAAUCCCGACGACGGGGAAAACUCCCACCAGAUGUCCUUUGGUUUCGUUAUGUCGUCAUACGGCGAGAAGGAAACCGCGGACAAUCAGCUGCGUCGCCGGAGAUUUUCACGACGAUGGAGCCAGAGAAGCAUCCUCUUCUCCCUCUACUUCUAUCUCGUCGAUCUUCGUGAAGGGGCUUGCGGAUUCAGUGAGUGAAGGUCGUUUGAAGAAGGUCUUCUCGGAGUUUGGAGAUGUUAGCCAUGUAAAAAUCAUCGUGAACGAAAGGACUCGGCAGUCUCUAGGAUAUGGCUAUGUUUGGUUUACCAAAAAG